rnacentral:rRNA from 1 species
GGGCCCGCACAAGCGGUGGAGCAUGUGGUUUAAUUCGACGCAACGCGAAGAACCUUACCGGGGCUUGACAUCUUUCUGACCGCCUGGGAAACCAGGUCUUCUUCCUUCGGGAAGACAGAAAGACAGGUGGUGCAUGGUUGUCGUCAGCUCGUGUCGUGAGAUGUUGGGUUAAGUCCCACAACGAGCGCAACCCUUGUCCUUAUUUGCCAGCCUGUUUACAGGCGCACUUUAAGGAGACUGCCGUAGAUAAUACGGAGGAAGGUGGGGAUGACGUCAAAUCCUCAUGCCCCUUACGUCCCGGGCUACACACGUGCUACAAUGGUCUGUACAGAGGGUGACCAAGGAGCGAUCCGGAGUCAAUCCCAAAAAGCAGGCCCCAGUUCGGAUUGGAGGCUGCAACUCGCCUCCAUGAAGUCGGAAUCGCUAGUAAUCGCGGAUCAGCACGCCGCGGUGAAUCCGUUCCCGGGCCUU